rnacentral:piRNA from 1 species
CAGGCCAAGAGACAAACGCAGGUGCUGCCC